UAGGGAAUCUUCGGCAAUGGACGAAAGUCUGACCGAGCAACGCCGCGUGAGUGAAGAAGGUUUUCGGAUCGUAAAACUCUGUUGUUAGAGAAGAACAAGGACGUUAGUAACUGAACGUCCCCUGACGGUAUCUAACCAGAAAGCCACGGCUAACUACGUGCCAGCAGCCGCGGUAAUACGUAGGUGGCAAGCGUUGUCCGGAUUUAUUGGGCGUAAAGCGAGCGCAGGCGGUUUCUUAAGUCUGAUGUGAAAGCCCGGCUCAACCGGGGAGGGUCAUUGGAAACUGGGAGACUUGAGUGCAGAAGAGGAGAGUGGAAUUCCAUGUGUAGCGGUGAAAUGCGUAGAUAUAUGGAGGAACACCAGUGGCGAAGGCGGCUCUCUGGUCUGUAACUGACGCUGAGGCUCGAAAGCGUGGGGAGCAAACAGG
rnacentral:rRNA from 1 species